rnacentral:lncRNA from 1 species
CUCUCCCAAAACACCUCCCUCCUAGUCGGUGCCUCACCCACCAUCCCCGCCACAUCUCCGGUCACAAUAUAAGCAUUGGAGAACACUACUGUAGCCCGACCUCCUGAAGAACGCUUGCAUUUUUCCCAAUUUCUUCUCUCACAAAAACCCUCUCGAAAUCGAUGCCACACCCUCCAUCCUCCUCGAAAGCAUCGUACCUCCGAUCACAAUAUAAACACUGAAAACCAUUACACCACUUACUGCAGUUGAAGGCUCGAGAAAUGGGAGCUUGGUGGGGUUGAUUUCGGCUUAACUGCGAUCUGCAUUACUCUGCUGGUCGGUGUGUAUUUUUCGACCUCCAACUAUUCUGUUCACUGCCUAAGCAUAUAACAUACUGUAUAUUUUUUGCUUGCGACAAUCUUAGCGCUUUCGGAGUAUUGUGAACCGUAGGUGAGAAUUACAAAACUGUAAUUGUAGAAUUACUAAUUGUGUUGUUCUGUCAAUUUGAAAAUUCAUGUUAAUGGCUUCUUGAUAAAUUUAAUCAUGAUGGAAAUGUAAUUUGUUCGAUUAAUCCAUGCUUCUAACCCUACAUUGCCGAUUGUCUGGAUAAAACUUGUGUGUCGCUAUCAAUUUACAUGAUGUUUUUAUCAAAAUCAAAGUAGGUCAAAAUACUAUAUUCGUUUACGAUGGAAAAGCAAUUUAAGAAACCUAGAAAGAGAUCUCCUGCAUUUUAAUUAGUUGAUUGAUUAUGGUGAAAAGGAUGGAUAAUAGUUGGGUUACCAGUGAAUAGUCAUUAGACAGUUGUGAAGUUGGAAACAGACUUCCUGAAGGGCUCUAAAAAUUUAUAAAUGGAUGCUAUCUUUUUAAGUAUUACAUUUUGUUCUACCUUAGCUGUAUGUCGACAGGGUACCUUUUGAAUGAAAUGUUGAAGGAGAGAAAGUUGAACCAGCUUAUUUUGAUUGUGUUCUCAAAUGUUGUUGUACGUAACCAGGGAUUAAUUCAUCCCAAUUGGUGUUUGCACAUGUAUUUUGAUGUACGAUAAUGGGUGAGGCUAAUUUUCGUGUCAAUUUCACUUGUUAUAUAUAUAAAUAAUAAAUUGCAUGAACUUAGAUCAAUCAAAUAAUUAAUUGCCCUAAUUAAUUUGCUCAUUUAGAUUAUAUUCGGGUGGAAUAAUGAUAAAGAAAGUGGAAGAGAGAAAAGAAUUUAGAAAAACAGGAUUCUUGAAAAAUGGAUUAAUUAUUGAUUCGAAGAGAGGAGUCGAACUAUAUGUGUGUGUGUGUGUGAUGGUUCGGGUAUUUUGGGACUACUUCGAACAGAUAAAGAUGAGUAAUGGAGAAGUUCAUUUGCAAUUGAUUUAUUUCACAUGCUACACAAUAUGGGGUUUAUUUAUAUAAUGGUUUGCAUAAUUGAUUAAUGUACUUGUUUCCCAUCUAAGGAUAUGAAAGGAAGAAAUGCUGAAAUUUGUCACAGCUGUAGAAGCGAUGGGCAUUCUUUUAGUGAAUGCCCGAGAAAACGUCAUUGCCCAGGGUAUGUACAUGGAUUUCAAAAAUGUUUCGAGGUUGAAAGACAGACGUGCAACAAAAGGCGAUUAUUCAACAAAUGCAGUCAUAAAUGUGGAUUUUUGAAUGGAUCGAACUAGGAGAGUCAAGCAAAGAAUAUAGUGCCAUUAACGAAGCGCUCAAUGUUGCGGCAAAUGAGGAAGUCGAAGAUUUGCCAAGAAUGUUCGAAACGCUUGGUCGAAUAUCCGACGAACGAGACUUAGAGAUUAACCUGAACAUUACUUUUCACAAGGGAAAAUGAAGUUCGGAAGGAAACGGAAAAGCAAAGAAGGCCACUUGAUUAGUUGUUUGUAUCGAACAUGUUAAUUGAAUAUUGUUUGUACUUUAACCCUCGAAUGACGUAACUAUAUAUGUUCCAUCGGAAAAUGGGUGUAAUGCAAUUUAGGUUUAUG